rnacentral:rRNA from 1 species
GUGUCAGCAGCCGCGGUAAUACGUAGGCAGCAAGCGUUGUUCGGAAUUACUGGGCGUAAAGAGUACGUAGGUGGUUUGCCAAGUCCGAUGUGAAAUCUCCUGGCUUAACUGGGAGGGUGCGUUAGAUACUGGCAGGCUUGAGUGUGGGAGAGGAGAGCGGAAUUCCUGGUGUAGCGGUGAAAUGCGUAGAUAUCAGGAGGAACGCCUGUGGUGUAGACGGCUCUCUGGACCAUUACUGACACUGAGGUACGAAAGCGUGGGUAGCAAACAGGAUUAGAUACCCUGGUAGUCC